rnacentral:rRNA from 1 species
UGUAAUGUUGGGUUAGUCCGCACGAGCGCACCCUUAUCCUUAUUUGCCAGCGCGUUAUGGCGGGAACUUUAAGGAGACUGCCGGUGAUAAACCGGAGGAAGGUGGGGACGACGUCAAGUCAUCAUGGCCCUUACGGGAUGGGCUACACACGUGCUACAAUGGCAGGUACAGAGGGCAGCAAUACCGCGAGGUGGAGCGAAUCCCACAAAGCUUGUCGUAGUCCGGAUUGGAGUCUGCAACUCGACUCCAUGAAGUCGGAAUCGCUAGUAAUCGUAGAUCAGAAUGCUACGGUGAAUACGUUCCCGGGCCUUGUACACACCGCCCGUCACACCAUGGGAGUGGGAUGCAAAAGAAGUGGCUAGUUUAACCUUUCGGGGAGGACGGUCACCACUUUGUGUUUCAUGACUGGGGUGAAGUCGUAACAAGGUAACCCUAGGGGAACCUGGGGUUGGAUCACCUCCUUAUCUU